GUGAGGGAAAGGCGAAAAGAACCCCGGGAGGGGAGUGAAAUAGAUCCUGAAACCGCAUGCAUACAAACAGUGGGAGCCCUGAAAUAGCGGGUGACUGCGUACCUUUUGUAUAAUGGGUCAGCGACUUACAUUCUGUAGCGAGCUUAACCGAAUAGGGGAGGCGUAGGGAAACCGAGUCUGAAUAGGGCGAUAGUUGCAGGGUGUAGACCCGAAACCGGAUGAGCUAUCCAUGGCCAGGAUGAAGGUGCAGUAACAUGCACUGGAGGUCCGAACCGACUAAUGUUGCAAAAUUAGCGGAUGAGCUGUGGAUAGGGGUGAAAGGCUAAACAAAUCCGGAGAUAGCUGGUUCUCCUCGAAAACUAUUUAGGUAGUGCCUCGUGGUUAACACUUCUUGGGGUAGAGCACUGUUAUGGCUAGGGGGUUAUUGCAACUUACCAAACCAUGGCAAACUCCGAAUACGAGAAAGUGAUACACGGGAGACAGACAUCUGGUGCUAACGUCAGGUGUCGAAAGGGAAACAACCCAGACCGCCAGCUAAGGUCCCAAAUGAUCAAUUAAGUGGUAAACGAUGUGGGAAGGCAUAGACAGCUAGGAUGUUGGCUUAGAAGCAGCCAUCAUUUAAAGAAAGCGUAAUAGCUCACUAGUCAAGUCGUCCUGCGCGGAAGAUGUAACGGGGCUAAAUUGAUAACCGAAGCUGCGGAUAGAACUUAGGUUCUAUGGUAGAGGAGCGUUCUGUAGGCCAAUGAAGGUGUCUUGAGAAGGAUGCUGGAGGUAUCAGAAGUGCGAAUGCUGACAUGAGUAGCGUUAAAGCGGGUGAAAAGCCCGCUCGCCGAAAGUCCAAGGUUUCCUACGCAACGUUAAUCGGCGUAGGGUGAGUCGGCCCCUAAGGUGAGGCAGAGAUGCGUAGCCGAUGGGAAACAGGUUAAUAUUCCUGUACCGAUGUAUAGUGCGAUGUGGGGACGGAGAAGGUUAGGUUAGCCAACUGUUGGAAAUGUUGGUUUAAGCGUGAAGGUGUGUAUCUUAGGCAAAUCCGGGAUACUUUAACACUGAGGCGUGAUGACGAGGUGCUACGGCACUGAAGUAAUUGAUACCAUGCUUCCAGGAAAAGCCACUAAGCUUCAGCUAUAUAUUGACCGUACCGCAAACCGACACUGGUGGACGAGAUGAGUAUUCUAAGGCGCUUGAGAGAACUCUGGAGAAGGAACUCGGCAAAUUAGCUCCGUAACUUCGGGAGAAGGAGCGCCCCGAUAAUGUGUAGGACUUCGCGUCCGAAGCAGUAAGGGGUUGCAGUGAACUGGUGGCUGCGACUGUUUAUUAAAAACACAGCACUCUGCAAACACGAAAGUGGACGUAUAGGGUGUGACGCCUGCCCGGUGCUGGAAGAUUAAAUGAUGGGGUGCAAGCUCUUGAUUGAAGUCCCAGUAAACGGCGGCCGUAACUAUAACGGUCCUAAGGUAGCGAAAUUCCUUGUCGGGUAAGUUCCGACCCGCACGAAUGGCGUAACGAUGGCCACACUGUCUCCUCCAGAGACUCAGCGAAGUUGAAAUGUUUGUGAAGAUGCAAUCUCCCCGCGGCUAGACG
rnacentral:rRNA from 1 species